UCGAGGAUCUUCGGCAAUGGGCGCGAGCCUGACCGAGCGACGCCGCGUGUGCGAUGAAGGCCUUCGGGUUGUAAAGCACUGUCGGAGGGGAGAAAAGCCCGCAAGGGCUUGAUCGACCCUCGGAGGAAGCACGGGCUAAGUUCGUGCCAGCAGCCGCGGUAAGACGAACCGUGCAAACGUUGUUCGGAAUCACUGGGCUUAAAGGGCGCGUAGGCGGAUGCAUCAGUCAGGGGUGAAAUCCCACGGCUCAACCGUGGAAGUGCCUUUGAGACGGUGUGUCUAGAGGGAGGUAGGGGCGUGCGGAACUUCCGGUGGAGCGGUGAAAUGCGUAGAUAUCGGAAGGAACACCGGUGGCGAAAGCGGCGCGCUGGACCUCUUCUGACGCUGAGGCGCGAAAGCCAGGGGAGCAAACGG
rnacentral:rRNA from 1 species